UACGUAGGGGGGCGAGCGUUGUCCGGAAUCAUUGGGCGUAAAGCGCGUGUAGGCGGCCCGGUAAGUCCGCUGUGAAAGUCCAGGGCUCAACCCUGGGAUGCCGGUGGAUACUGUCGGGCUCGAGUCCGGAAGAGGCGAGUGGAAUUCCCGGUGUAGCGGUGAAAUGCGCAGAUAUCGGGAGGAACACCAAUGGCGAAGGCGGCUCACUGGUCCAUUACUGACGCUGAGGUGCGAAAGCGUGGGGAGCAAACAGG
rnacentral:rRNA from 1 species